GAUGAAGAACGCAGCGAAAUGCGAUACUUGGUGUGAAUUGCAGAAUCCCGUGAACCAUCGAGUCUUUGAACGCAAGUUGCGCCCGAAGCCAUUAGGCCGAGGGCACGCCUGCCUGGGCGUCACACGUCGUUGCCCCCCCAUCUACUCCUUCGGGAUUGCGGGGGGCGGAUGAUGGCCUCCCGUGCGCCUCGUCGCGCGGUUGGCCUAAAUGCCAAGUCCUCGGCGACGCAUGCCACGACAAUCGGUGGUUGCGAAACCUCGGUUGCCCGUCGUGUGCGGUCGUCGCGCAUCGAGGGCUCGAAAAAAUUGCCGGGCUUCGGCUCGACUUUCAACGCGACCCCAGGUCAGGCGGGGUUACCCGCUGAAUUUAAGCAUAUCAAUAAGCGGAGGA
rnacentral:misc_RNA from 1 species